rnacentral:rRNA from 1 species
AGUGAACGCUGGCGGUAGGCCUAACACAUGCAAGUCGAACGGCAGCACAGUAAGAGCUUGCUCUUACGGGUGGCGAGUGGCGGACGGGUGAGGAAUACAUCGGAAUCUACUUUUUCGUGGGGGAUAACGUAGGGAAACUUACGCUAAUACCGCAUACGACCUACGGGUGAAAGCAGGGGAUCUUCGGACCUUGCGCGAUUGAAUGAGCCGAUGUCGGAUUAGCUAGUUGGCGGGGUAAAGGCCCACCAAGGCGACGAUCCGUAGCUGGUCUGAGAGGAUGAUCAGCCACACUGGAACUGAGACACGGUCCAGACUCCUACGGGGGGCAGCAGUGGGGAAUAUUGGACAAUGGGCGCAAGCCUGAUCCAGCCAUACCGCGUGGGUGAAGAAGGCCUUCGGGUUGUAAAGCCCUUUUGUUGGGAAAGAAAAGCAGCAGGUUAAUACCCCGCUGUUCUGACGGUACCCAAAGAAUAAGCACCGGCUAACUGCGU